AGUGAACGCUGGCGGUAGGCCUAACACAUGCAAGUCGAACGGCAGCACAGUAAGAGCUUGCUCUUACGGGUGGCGAGUGGCGGACGGGUGAGGAAUACAUCGGAAUCUACUUUUUCGUGGGGGAUAACGUAGGGAAACUUACGCUAAUACCGCAUACGACCUACGGGUGAAAGCAGGGGAUCUUCGCACCUUGCGCGAUUGAAUGAGCCGAUGUCGGAUUAGCUAGUUGGCGGGGUAAAGGCCCACCAAGGCGACGAUCCGUAGCUGGUCUGAGAGGAUGAUCAGCCACACUGGAACUGAGACACGGUCCAGACUCCUACGGGAGGCAGCAGUGGGGAAUAUUGGACAAUGGGCGCAAGCCUGAUCCAGCCAUACCGCGUGGGUGAAGAAGGCCUUCGGGUUGUAAAGCCCUUUUGUCGGGAAAGAAAAGCAGCAGGUUAAUACCCCGCUGUUCUGACGGUACCCAAAGAAUAAGCACCGGCUAACUUCGUG
rnacentral:rRNA from 1 species